rnacentral:rRNA from 1 species
AAAUUGAAGAGUUUGAUCAUGGCUCAGAUUGAACGCUGGCGGCAGGCCUAACACAUGCAAGUCGAACGGUAACAGGAAGCAGCUUGCUGCUUCGCUGACGAGUGGCGGACGGGUGAGUAAUGUCUGGGAAACUGCCUGAUGGAGGGGGAUAACUACUGGAAACGGUGGCUAAUACCGCAUAACGUCGCAAGACCAAAGAGGGGGACCUUCGGGCCUCUUGCCAUCAGAUGUGCCCAGAUGGGAUUAGCUAGUUGGUGAGGUAACGGCUCACCAAGGCGACGAUCCCUAGCUGGUCUGAGAGGAUGACCAGCCACACUGGAACUGAGACACGGUCCAGACUCCUACGGGAGGCAGCAGUGGGGAAUAUUGCACAAUGGGCGCAAGCCUGAUGCAGCCAUGCCGCGUGUAUGAAGAAGGCCUUCGGGUUGUAAAGUACUUUCAGCGGGGAGGAAGGUGUUGUGGUUAAUAACCGCAGCAAUUGACGUUACCCGCAGAAGAAGCACCGGCUAACUCCGUGCCAGCAGCCGCGGUAAUACGGAGGGUGCAAGCGUUAAUCGGAAUUACUGGGCGUAAAGCGCACGCAGGCGGUCUGUCAAGUCGGAUGUGAAAUCCCCGGGCUCAACCUGGGAACUGCAUUCGAAACUGGCAGGCUUGAGUCUUGUAGAGGGGGUAGAAUUCCAGGUGUAGCGGUGAAAUGCGUAGAGAUCUGGAGGAAUACCGGUGGCGAAGGCGGCCCCCUGGACAAAGACUGACGCUCAGGUGCGAAAGCGUGGGGAGCAAACAGGAUUAGAUACCCUGGUAGUCCACGCCGUAAACGAUGUCUACUUGGAGGUUGUGCCCUUGAGGCGUGGCUUCCGGAGCUAACGCGUUAAGUAGACCGCCUGGGGAGUACGGCCGCAAGGUUAAAACUCAAAUGAAUUGACGGGGGCCCGCACAAGCGGUGGAGCAUGUGGUUUAAUUCGAUGCAACGCGAAGAACCUUACCUGGUCUUGACAUCCACAGAACUUUCCAGAGAUGGAUUGGUGCCUUCGGGAACUGUGAGACAGGUGCUGCAUGGCUGUCGUCAGCUCGUGUUGUGAAAUGUUGGGUUAAGUCCCGCAACGAGCGCAACCCUUAUCCUUUGUUGCCAGCGGUUAGGCCGGGAACUCAAAGGAGACUGCCAGUGAUAAACUGGAGGAAGGUGGGGAUGACGUCAAGUCAUCAUGGCCCUUACGACCAGGGCUACACACGUGCUACAAUGGCGCAUACAAAGAGAAGCGACCUCGCGAGAGCAAGCGGACCUCAUAAAGUGCGUCGUAGUCCGGAUUGGAGUCUGCAACUCGACUCCAUGAAGUCGGAAUCGCUAGUAAUCGUGGAUCAGAAUGCCACGGUGAAUACGUUCCCGGGCCUUGUACACACCGCCCGUCACACCAUGGGAGUGGGUUGCAAAAGAAGUAGGUAGCUUAACCUUCGGGAGGGCGCUUACCACUUUGUGAUUCAUGACUGGGGUGAAGUCGUAACAAGGUAACCGUAGGGGAACCUGCGGUUGGAUCACCUCCUUA